CUGAACCAGCCAAGUAGCGUGAAGGAUGACUGCCCUAUGGGUUGUAAAUUUCUUUUAUACGGGAAUAAAGUGAGGCACGUGUGCCUUUUUGUAUGUACCGUAUGAAUAAGGAUCGGCUAACUCCGUGCCAGCAGCCGCGGUAAUACGGAGGAUCCGAGCGUUAUCCGGAUUUAUUGGGUUUAAAGGGAGCGUAGGCGGACGCUUAAGUCAGUUGUGAAAGUUUGCGG
rnacentral:rRNA from 1 species